GAUGAACGCUGACAGAAUGCUUAACACAUGCAAGUCGAUGGGGAAGUGGUGCUUGCACCAUGGUAACCAUGGCGGACGGGUGAGCAACGCGUAAGGAACUUGCCUGCGGGACCGGGAUAACAGCAGGAAACUGCUGACAAGACCGGAUAAGGUCAUUAAGCCGCAUAGCUUAGUGAUGAAAGGAGACGCCUGCGGAGAGCCUUGCGUCCUAUUAGCUAGUUGGAGGGGUAACGGCCCACCAAGGCGAAGAUAGGUAGCCGGCCUGAGAGGGUGGACGGCCACAAGGGGACUGAGAUACGGCCCUUACUCCUACGGGAGGCAGCAGUGGGGAAUAUUGGACAAUGGGGGCAACCCUGAUCCAGCAAUUCUGUGUGCACGAAGACGGUUUUCGGAUUGUAAAGUGCUUUCAGCAGGGAAGAAGGAAGUGACGGUACCUGCAGAAGAAGCGACGGCUAAAUACGUGCCAGCAGCCGCGGUAAUACGUAUGUCGCGAGCGUUAUCCGGAAUUAUUGGGCAUAAAGGGCAUCUAGGCGGCCUUUCAAGUCAGGGGUGAAAACCUGCGGCUCAACCGCAGGCCUGCCUUUGAAACUGAUAGGCUGGAGUACCGGAGAGGUGGACGGAACUGCACGAGUAGAGGUGAAAUUCGUAGAUAUGUGCAGGAAUGCCGAUGAUGAAGAUAGUUCACUGGACGGUAACUGACGCUGAAGUGCGAAAGCCGGGGGAGCAAACAGG
rnacentral:rRNA from 1 species